CCUACGGGAGACAGCAGUGAGGAAUAUUGGUCAAUGUCCGGGAGGCUGAUCCAGUCAAGUCGCGUGAGGGAAGACGGCCCUACUGGUUGUAAACCCCUUUUGUCAGGGAGCAAGGUGCAGGUCGGGACCUGCUGUGAGAGUCCCUGUACAUAAAGCAUCGGCUAACACCGUGCCAGCAGCCGCGGUAAUACGGAGGAUCCGAGCGUUAUCCGGAUGUAGGGGGGUAAAGGGGUGCGCAGGCGGAGGCACAAGUUCGCGGUAAAAUCGCGGGGCUAAACCCCGCUCCGCCGUUGAAACUGUGUGCCUUGAGUGCGCGAAGGGUAGGCGGAAUGCGUGGUGUAGCGGUGAAAUGCAUAGAUAUCACGAAGAACCCCGAUGGCGAAGGCAGCAUACCGGUGCACAACUGACGCUCAGGCACGAAAGCGUGGGUAUCGAACAGGAUUAGAUACCCUAGUAGUC
rnacentral:rRNA from 1 species